GGACUCUUACGCCAGUAAAGUUACCACGAUUGGUAUAUCAGCGGUCACACCGUUGGUUCCUCAUAUUGCGACCCCAAGUCAGGCGGGAACACCCCGCUGAAUUUAAAGCU
rnacentral:rRNA from 1 species